GACAAACUGCCAAUACAAGAAGACAGUUUAAAGUUUCCUACUUUGCUGAAGAGUCUGCCAGACACACUAUGGCCUAUGGGCUGAAGAUGGAACAUUACAGAAGAACUUCAGGUGACUGACCAGGCAAUGAGUUGUCUCUGUCAUUUCUAGAGUUUAUAUAUUAUCCUUCUGUGGUCUUUGA